AACGAACGCUGGCGGCAGGCUUAACACAUGCAAGUCGAACGCAUCGCAAGAUGAGUGGCAGACGGGUGAGUAACGCGUGGGAACAUACCCUUUUCUACGGAAUAGCCCUGGGAAACUGGAAUUAAUACCGUAUACGCCCUACGGGGGAAAGAUUUAUCGGGGAAGGAUUGGCCCGCGUUGGAUUAGCUAGUUGGUGGGGUAAAGGCCUACCAAGGCGACGAUCCAUAGCUGGUCUGAGAGAAUGAUCAGCCACAUUGGGACUGAGACACGGCCCAAACUCCUACGGGAGGCAGCAGUGGGGAAUAUCGGACAAUGGGGGAAACCCUGAUCCAGCCAUGCCGCGUGAGUGAAGAAGGCCUUCGGGUUGUAAAGCUCUCUCGGCGGGGACGAUGAUGACGGUACCCGCAUAAGAAGCCCCGGCAAACUUCGUGCCAGCCGCCGCUGUAA
rnacentral:rRNA from 1 species